rnacentral:rRNA from 1 species
UACGAAAGGGGCUAGCGUUGUUCGGAAUUACUGGGCGUAAAGCGCACGUAGGCGGACUGUCAAGUUGGGGGUGAAAUCCCGGGGCUCAACCUCGGAACUGCCUCCAAAACUGUCAGUCUAGAGGAUGUGAGAGGAUAGUGGAAUUCCGAGUGUAGAGGUGAAAUUCGUAGAUAUUCGGAAGAACACCGGUGGCGAAGGCGACUGUCUGGCACAUUUCUGACGCUGAGGUGCGAAAGCGUGGGGAGCAAACAGG